rnacentral:rRNA from 1 species
CCUACGGGUGGCUGCAGUGGGGAAUAUUGCGCAAUGGGCGAAAGCCUGACGCAGCGACGCCGCGUGAGGGAUGAAGGUCUUCGGAUCGUAAACCUCUGUCAGCAGGGAAGAACGGUCACUGUGCUAAUCAGCAGUGAAUUGACGGUACCUGCAAAGGAAGCACCGGCUAACUCCGUGCCAGCAGCCGCGGUAAUACGGAGGGUGCGAGCGUUAAUCGGAAUUACUGGGCGUAAAGCGCUCGUAGGCGGUAUGUCAAGUCAAGGGUGAAAUCCCCGCGCUCAACGUGGGAACUGCCUUUGAAACUGGCAAACUGGAGUGUGUGAGAGGAUAGUGGAAUGCCAGGUGUAGGGGUGAAAUGCGUAGAUAUCUGGAGGAACAUCAGUGGCGAAGGCGACGAUCUGGCACAUAACUGACGCUGAGGAGCGAAAGCGUGGGUAGCAAACAGGAUUAGAUACCCGUGUAGUC